rnacentral:lncRNA from 1 species
CUAGAUAAUGUUGCCCGUGCUAUGCACGGGCCCAAUAAUAUAAAUGGUAUGUUUUGGGGUAAUAACGGCAUUUUUAAAGUGAUUGUUUGCGUGGAUAAAGGAAUAAGUUUUUUUAUCACAAACCUGUACUUUCUUUGAUGCUAUUUAAGGCAUAAUAAGACUACCCACAUAUAACAUUUUUGAAAUAUUUUAUGUUGUCAAUUAUCAUGAUUUAUAGUAUUUUUACGCAAUUUUUAAAUAUAAAAAACACUAAAAAAAAAAUAAGACAAAUAAAUUAAAAUGGACCCAAUAUAUGUUAUUUUUGUUGUCUCAAUUUAUGUGACACAAAUAAAAUUUG